UGCAGUCGACGAUGAAUUCUCUGCUUGCAGAGAAUGGAUUAGUGGCGAACGGGUGAGUAACACGUGGGUAACCUGCCCAUAAGAGGGGGAUAACAUUCGGAAACGGAUGCUAAUACCGCAUAGGUCUUUGAGACGCCUGUCUCUUAGAUGAAAGGUGGCUUCGGCUGCCGCUUAUGGAUGGACCCGCGGCGUAUUAGCUAGUUGGUGAGGUAAUGGCUCACCAAGGCUGUGAUACGUAGCCGACCUGAGAGGGUGAUCGGCCACACUGGGACUGAGACACGGCCCAGACUCCUACGGGAGGCAGCAGUAGGGAAUCUUCCACAAUGGGUGAAAACCUGAUGGAGCAAUACCGCGUGAGUGAAGAAGGUCUUCGGAUCGUAAAGCUCUGUUGUUAGAGAAGAACAAGUCGGGUAGUAACUGCCCCGGCCUUGACGGUAUCUAACCAGAAAGUCACGGCUAACUAC
rnacentral:rRNA from 1 species